CCUACGGGCGGCACCAGUGGGGAAUAUUGCACAACGGGCGCAAGCCUGAUGCAGCCAUGCCGCGUGUGUGAAGAAGGCCUUCGGGUUGUAAAGCACUUUCAGCGGGGAGGAAGGCGCCAAGGUUAGUAACCUUGGCGAUUGACGUUACCCGCAGAAGAAGCACCGGCUAACUCCGUGCCAGCAGCCGCGGUAAUACGGAGGGUGCAAGCGUUAAUCGGAAUUACUGGGCGUAAAGCGCACGCAGGCGGUCUGUCAAGUCGGAUGUGAAAUCCCCGGGCUCAACCUGGGAACUGCAUUCGAAACUGGCGGGCUAGAGUCUUGUAGAGGGGGGUAGAAUUCCAGGUGUAGCGGUGAAAUGCGUAGAGAUCUGGAGGAACACCGGUGGCGAAGGCGGCCCCCUGGACAAAGACUGACGCUCAGGUGCGAAAGCGUGGGGAGCAAACAGGAUUAGAUACCCUUGUAGUC
rnacentral:rRNA from 1 species